rnacentral:lncRNA from 1 species
GAUCAUGCAAUUUACACCUCUCAUACCUUUUCUAACCCCCAACCCAACUUCUAACACUCCAAUUUCGUGAUAUGGACCUAUACUUAAAUGUGUCUAGAUGGAUUUUAACAAUUAUAUAGUGAUUCUAAAGUUGUUUAAACUUGGAUUUACUUCUAAAACACUCAAUCCUAUGACUUAGAGACUCUAAUUUGAUUUUACCAUUUCUAUUAAUUUUUAAACCAAUUUUAUGACCCAAAUAAGUCCCAACUGACUUGUCUAGACUACCUAAACAGACCCAAUGCACUGCACACU